GGUGGACGCCCGGGAUGGCGCGGGGGCCACAGCGCUGGGUCUGGCGGCCGCCCUAGGCCGCUCCCAGGUACGUCCCGCCCUCCGCCCGGCAGUGAUGGGAGGGGGCGCAGGGCCAGGAUCCCCAGAGACGUGCCACCGGGGCAGCUGGAGCCAGGCUGGGGGACGGUGUCCAGGCACGAAGGCCCUGAGCGCGCCCCCGGCUGUGCCCCUCCGGUGUAGCCCCGUCCCGUGGAGACCAGGGCGGGAUCCGAGGCCCGGGGCUCGGCUUCAUGCUGGUGGCAGGCCCACUGACCCUGCAGCUCCAGCCUUCUCCAUACUUCAACAAAGAAUGAGUUGUGGCAAUGAGGGAAGAGAGACCCUCUCAUAGUGUUUUAUACUCAGUACCUGUUUUAAGAAAAAACAACAAGGAAGUAAAACCAAAGACAGGCAGGCAGCCUGGCGCUAGGCCCGAAACCAGGCCUGCGCCUGCCUGGCCUAAACCCAGUAGUUGAAAAUCAAUUCAUAACUUAGAAACCGAUGUUAUUCAUAGAUUCCAGACAUUGUAUAGAAGAACAUUUGUGAAACUCCCUGCCGUGUUCUGUUUCUCUCUGACCGCCGGUGCAUGCAGCCCCUGUCACGUACCGCCUGCUUGCUCAAAUCAAUGACGACCCUUUCAUGUGAAAUCUUCGGUGUUGUGAGCCCUUAAAAGGGACAGAAAUUGUGCACUUGGGGAGCUCGGAUUUUAAGGCAGUAGCUUGCCGAUGCUCCCAGCUGAAUAAAGCCCUUCCUUCUACAACUGGGUGUCUGAGAGGUUUUGUCUGCGGCUCGUCCUGCUACAUUUCUUGGUUCCCUGACUGGGAAACGAGGUAACUGACAGACGACCGAGGCAGCCCCUUAGGCGGCUUAGGCCUGCCCCGUGGAGCAUCCCUGCGGGGGACUCCGGCCAGCCUGAGUGACGUGAGCUAAAGAGCGCUCCCGGGUAGGAAAUUGCCUCGGUGGAACACCUCGCCAGAGCAGCCCAUAACGGGCCCCCAUGGUGGAUUAACACAGUGGCUGAACACCGGGAAGGAACUGGCACUUGGAGUCCGGACAUCUGAAACCUGGUAAGACUAGUCUUUGGAACUUGCCCCACUCCACCUGAGUAGACGCGUGGCCUGAUCGCCCACGGCGUGCCUGCAUUAGCACCUUUGUUCUGGUUUUGACUUGACUGAGAUCAUGUGAUACUUUGGUU
rnacentral:lncRNA from 1 species